rnacentral:rRNA from 1 species
ACAAGCGGUGGAGCAUGUGGUUUAAUUCGAUGAUACGCGAGGAACCUUACCUGGGCUCAAAUGUAUGUUGACGUAUUCUGAAAGGGAUACUUCUUCGGACAAUAUACAAGGUGCUGCAUGGUUGUCGUCAGCUCGUGCCGUGAGGUGUCGGGUUAAGUCCCAUAACGAGCGCAACCCCUAUCAUUAGUUGCCAUCAGGUCAAGCUGGGGACUCUAAUGAAACUGCCUACGCAAGUAGUGAGGAAGGUGGGGAUGACGUCAAAUCAGCACGGCCCUUACGUCCAGGGCUACACACGUGCUACAAUGGCCGGUACAAAGGGCAGCUACCUGGUGACAGGAUGCUAAUCUCCAAAACCACUCUCAGUUCGGAUCGGAGUCUGCAACUCGACUCCGUGAAGCUGGAUUCGCUAGUAAUCGCGCAUCAGCCACGGCGCGGUGAAUACGUUCCCGGGCCUU